GACGAACCGUGCGAACGUUGUUCGGAAUCACUGGGCUUAAAGGGCGCGUAGGCGGCCCGCUAAGUCGAACGUGAAAUCCCCAGGCUCAACCUGGGAACUGCGUCCGAUACUGGCAGGCUUGAAUCCGGGAGAGGGAUGUGGAAUUCCAGGUGUAGCGGUGAAAUGCGUAGAUAUCUGGAGGAACACCGGUGGCGAAGGCGGCAUCCUGGACCGGUAUUGACGCUGAGGCGCGAAAGCUAGGGGAGCAAACGGG
rnacentral:rRNA from 1 species